AGAGUUUGAUCAUGGCUCAGGACGAACGCUGGCGGCGUGCCUAACACAUGCAAGUCGAGCGGGGAUAUAUGCUGGAGCGCUUCGGUGUGAAGGGAUAUAUCCUAGCGGCGGACGGGUGAGUAACGCGUGGGGAACCUGCCCUUAAGUUCGGGAUACCAACUCGAAAGGGUUGUUAAUACCGGAUGUGCUGCAUUAGCCGCAUGGCGGAUGUAGUAAAGGGGAGACCCGCUUAAGGAUGGCCCUGCGUUCCAUUAGCUAGUUGGUGGGGUAACGGCCUACCAAGGCGACGAUGGAUAGCCGGCCUGAGAGGGCGACCGGCCACACUGGGACUGAGACACGGCCCAGACUCCUACGGGGGGCAGCAGUGGGGAAUCUUGCACAAUGGGCGGAAGCCUGAUGCAGCGACGCCGCGUGAGGGACGAAGGUCUUCGGAUCGUAAACCUCUGUCCAAAGGGACGAAGGAGUGACGGUACCUUUGGAGGAAGCCCCGGCCAACUACGUGCCAGCAGCCGCGGUAAGACGUAGGGGGCGAGCGUUGUCCGGAAUCAUUGGGCGUAAAGGGCGCGUAGGCGGUGACGUAAGUCAGGCGUGAAAGGCAUCGGCUCAACCGACGCACAUAGCCUGAUACUACGUUGCUUGAGUGCAGGAGAGGAGGGUGGAAUUCCCGGUGGAGCGGUGAUAUGCGUAGAUAUCGGGAGGAACACCGGUGGCGAAGGCGACCUUCUGGCCUGUUACUGACGCUGAGGCGCGAAAGCCGGGGGAGCAAACAGGAUUAGAUACCCUGGUAGUCCCGGCCGUAAACGCUGGGUACUAGGUGUAGGGGGCUUUGAUGCCUUCUGUGCCGUAGUUAACGCAUUAAGUACCCCGCCUGGGGAGUACGAUCGCAAGGUUGAAACUCAAAGGAAUUGACGG
rnacentral:rRNA from 1 species